AGUGAACGCUGGCGGUAGGCCUAACACAUGCAAGUCGAACGGCAGCACAGUAAGAGCUUGCUCUUACGGGUAGCUAGUGGCGGACGGGUGAGGAAUACAUCGGAAUCUACUUUUUCGUGGGGGAUAACGUAGGGAAACUUACGCCAAUACCGCAUACGACCUACGGGUGAAAGCAGGGGAUCUUCGGACCUUGCGCGAUUGAAUGAGCCGAUGUCGGAUUAGCUAGUUGGCGGGGUAAAGGCCCACCAAGGCGACGAUCCGUAGCUGGUCUGAGAGGAUGAUCAGCCACACUGGAACUGAGACACGGUCCAGACUCCUACGGGAGGCAGCAGUGGGGAAUAUUGGACAAUGGGCGCAAGCCUGAUCCAGCCAUACCGCGUGGGUGAAGAAGGCCUUCGGGUUGUAAAGCCCUUUUGUUGGGAAAGAAAAGCAGCAGGUUAAUACCCCGCUGUUCUGACGGUACCCAAAGAAUAAGCACCGGCUAACUUCGUG
rnacentral:rRNA from 1 species